rnacentral:lncRNA from 1 species
UGCUCUCUGUUUCUUUUCAAAGGCUGCAGAAGUAAAGACUAUGUAAACAUGGACAUUACUGCAUACGUCGGAGACUCUUUACUGCUGCCUUGCUCCUGUGAUGGCUUUUCUAAACAUGCUCAUAGAUUUCGCUGGAGUAUAGAUUACAUAAGCGGUGGCUCAGCAUACAUAAGUUCGGAUGGUUUAAACAAAAUUAGAAGACCAGUUCAGCUGUUUAACAAUCACUCUCCAGGGAAUCUCUCUGUAUUAAUACCACACCUUACUGAAGAGGAUGGAGGAGAGUACAUGUGUAAUGUCAGGGAAUAUGACAUGGUCAUGAUUCGGGCAAUUUUAAAAGUGACUGUCAUCCCAAAACCAACAACCACAACCAUCCAACCAACAACUUCAUAUGUUGGUGCAGCUCCACAUGUGAACCAGUCUCUGACCUACUUCCCCUUUGCUUUGGUGGCUACUUUUAUAUUCCACAUUGUGUUUGCCGUACGGUUUCUUUUCAAGAAGCGCAAAGGUAUUGUGCAAAUCAAUCAACCAGAACGUUUUCACUUUUGAGUAUGUGUGUGAAUAUUUUCUUAUAUUUACACACACACACACACACACACACACAUACACACACACACACACAUAUUUCUUAUAUAUGUAUAUAUUUACAGCUUUUGCCCUCUAUCUCUUUAUCUUUGCUUCAGAUCCUGCCAGAGUGCAAUACAGCACUGCCAAUCAGGAAGAAACAGUAAGUCUGUAGAAGAAGAAAAGCAGCGCCCAUAAAGAGACCACCUACUAACCUACUAUGCGCUUUAUAAUAGCAAAUGUACUGUAGAUCAUGAAAAGUCAAUGUAAACCCAUUUUAUUUCCACUUUGAACAAAUUCUGUCACUUAUUUUGAUAUCAG